rnacentral:sRNA from 1 species
GUAGAACUGCUCACUUCUGACUCAACAAUGAAGGCUGUUCUUAUAACCUUCGUGACUUUACUGUGUAUCUCUACAAUGAUGCUUCCAAACGGCUUCGUGAGAUUUGGACGAGAGAGCGAUACCGAAAGAGUAGCCAGAGAUAAUCCAUUUUUGAGGUUUAAGAGAGACCAUCAACCCUCUUGGACACCUAAUGGUGUAAAUCCGUGGGGGUAAAGCCUCCACGAGAGAGUAAAACUACGUUUGAAAGGUCAAAGCAAGACCCAGUAUGUGUACCCUUUUAGAAUCACUCAUGAAAUAACAUCAUUUUUGGAAAAAGAAAAAGCAGAAACCAAAUUUUGAAUAUACUUUUUAGAUUUUACAAUUAGACAUCCCUAACUUUCAGUUGAACAAAUGUUUUAUAGUAUGAUCAAAUAAAAGUA